GAUGAACGCUAGCGGCAGGCCUAAUACAUGCAAGUCGAACGGGAUUAAGGAGCUUGCUUCUUAUGAGAGUGGCGCACGGGUGCGUAACACGUAUGCAACCUACCUUCAACAGGGGGAUAGCCUUCCGAAAGGGAGAUUAAUACCGCAUAAUAUAACUGAACGGCAUCGUUUGGUUAUCAAACAAAAAGGGUUGAAGAUGGGCAUGCGUCCGAUUAGUUAGUUGGUGAGGUAACGGCUCACCAAGACCACGAUCGGUAGGGGAUCUGAGAGGAUGACCCCCAACACUGGUAAUGAGACACGGACCAGACUCCUACGGGAGGCAGCAGUAAGGAAUAUUGGUCCAUGGACGCAAGUCGGAACCAGCCAUGCCGCGUGCAGGAAGACGGUCCUCUGGAUUGUAAACUGCUUUUGUUAGGGAAGAAACCCUCGGAUGCGUUCGAGGCUGACGGUACCUAAAGAAUAAGGAUCGGCUAACUCCGUGCCAGCAGCCGCAGUAAAAC
rnacentral:rRNA from 1 species